rnacentral:lncRNA from 13 species
UUCAAAGGAGCAUUCAGUAAUAAGGAAACAUAAAAGAACUCAACUACAGAAAACUGAUGCUUUAUUUUAAAAUUUAAGAAACUGCCACCAUGCAUCCCUAAGCCAGUUUCUAAAAGAAGAAGACAGCAUGAUCUCGAUGGC